rnacentral:lncRNA from 1 species
GGAGGACGGGUUUUUGAACCCUUGCAUUUGCAAUAAGUGACCUAUCAGGAUUCCCCAAAGUCACCAGGACAGAGUAGCAGACCUGGACUGGGCACCCCAUAGCCAGGUUCUUGGGGCCUUGGCAUCUACCACUAAUGCCCAUCACCAAAACACUGCUCUAAAACGAACUCAUGUGCCCUAGGUGUCCCUUUUUCUGGGUCCAGAGUCCUGGGAGGUUGGGUAGAAUCAAGAGGAAGGCUUUGGUGCACCAAGUAGCCUCUGUUAGCCAUGGCUCUGACCUGAGGCCAGACUGGCCCCUGUGGGCCCUGAGUAAUAAGCCUUGGGGAAGGAUAGAACUGCCUAUAACACCAUGCCGUCCAUUCCAGAGCCUCCAGGGCCCAUCGACAACAGCAGGAUUGCACAGGUCAAAGGCAGUGGUCAUAUCCAGCUAAAGCAGGGGGCUGACUACGGGCAGAUUUCUGAGGAGACCUGGACCUAUCUGAACAGUCUGUAUGGGGGUGGCCCUGAGAUUGCCAUCCGGCAGAGUGUGGCCCAGCUCCCAGACCCAGAAAGCUUGCAUGGAGAGCAGAAGAUUGAGGCUGAAACCCGGGCUCUGUGACUUGGGCCAUGCUGAGUUGGUGUGGCUGGCCCUACUCCCUCUCCAGACAGCCCUGCAUCCCUCUGAAGGCUGUGUUCUGCUGAGUGCCCACUGUCCCUGAAGGCUGGUAUCCGACAUUCCCCAGAGGGUGUGUCUGCCCUGCAGCUGAGCUGCUGCGUGCCUGGUACCGGGGCUGAGAGCGGCUGGUCCGCCUGAGAGAUGCUAUGCUGGGAAAUAUAUCCGCUCAGACUUGAGAACUCCGACUGUCAUCGCUGUGUCCCCCAAACUUGCCCUCUUGCUAACUUGGGCCCAGCUUUUGUCCCAGGAGCCCCGUGCUGUUCCUUAGCCAAUGCUGACCCCUGGGACGGGGGGCUAGGAGCGGCUGCCACCUUUUGGGUAUUAUCUGCUGUAUACUUGGCCCAACACUUUAGGGACUUAGGGAGGUAGAUGUCUGUGCACAGGGGCAGAAUGGAUGUGGGGCUCUGUGUAGGUCAGCAGCCCCUCAUAUCACAGUGGAGGCCCCGGCUGCCCAUGUUUGUUCUGUUGACUACUCUUGUACUUGGAACAGAGAAAGGGCAAGUUUUGCUUUAGAGGGCAGAGGCCCUGCCCCCUUGUCCUGCUGAGUCCACUGGCAGACUGGCUGUCGUUUGCCCUGGGAAGUGGCUCCUAGGCCCCUAGGGGAGGGAAACAGAUACCUCAUGCACUGGUCCACUGAUGCUUAUUCAGCCUUCCGUGUGCUCUAGAGUGAGCCUGAUCCCCUGCCCGCACCCAGCCUUGGCGUCUAGAGCUGACUCUGAGGGGAUGUGAGCUGUGGCCACUCGCACAGGCAUGUGUCUGGAGUGUCCUGCUAGGCUGCUGGAGAGGUGCUGGGACCUGCUGAGCCUAGAGAGUCUGCCCUGUGUUUGGAGUCCUGAAGAAGCCUGAACAGAGCUUCCAGGACAAGCUGUUCAAAGCUAAGACUGGGGUGGUGAGGGUGGAUCCUGGGACCAAGAGGGCUGCAGUGGCCACCAGUCUCUUCAGAAGUGGAAGUGGACACUAGCCCAAAGACCUGGGCAUUUAGUGUCCUAUUGAGGUGGGUGCCAUGUGGAUCCUUAGUCGGCUGCUGCUGGGACAUGCCCUGUUGGCUGCCAUCUUUUGAAGUCUCUGUUGUGGAGCCCUUAGCUCAUUGCACUACUGUGACACAGUCUGGGUUGUGUUCAGAAUGUCACAAUAAAUACGUGUUCCUCUCCUGCCCCUAGCUUGUACUGUGACACCGUGGUGUUUGCCUUCACUGGUGAUAAACACAGCCAGAGGUCCUGUGGAAGCUUCUGGGAGGAGCUGGAACACUUGAAAUACC